UACAUGAGCCCAUCUAAAAGCAGAAGAACCUCCCAGAAUAAGAAACUGAGACACAGAGAGGGGAAAUAAUCCAACUAAUAUUAUUCACUCAAAGCAAGACUCCAAUCUUCCCCUGCCUUUCUGAUUGAGACCCUCGCUCCACAGAGGAUCCUGCCUCAUACCCUGGAGGGGAGAAUGCUGCAGAGAGGCCCAAUCAUAUUUUGACAUGGUUGUCCAUGUUUCAAUCAUGCCUGUGCAAAGUAGUCUCCACAAAGGGCCCAAGAGGACAAGUUCAGGAAGGUUUUGGAUAGCUGAACACAUGGAGGUUCCUGGAGGGUGGCCCGCCAGAGAGGGCAUGCAAGCUCUGCACCCUUCCCCCAUACCUCACCCUAUGCAUCUACUAUCUGUAUCCUUUGUAAUAUCCUUUAUAAUAAACAAGUACAUAAUUGUUUCCCUGAGUUCUGCAAGCAACUCCAGCAAAUUAAUCGAACCCAAAGAGGGAGUCGUGGGAACCCCAACUUGAAGCUUGUUGGUCAGAAGUUUGGAGGCCUGGACUUGUGACUGGUGUCUGAAGCAGGAGGAGGGUAGGGGAGAAGUCCUGUGGGACUGAGCCCUCACCCUGUGGGAUCUGACGCUGCUUCCAGGUAGACAGAAGAGGUCAGAUAAGAGAUCUGAAAAUGAAGAGAUCGCAUCUGCUCUGACAAAAGGGCAUAUGAGAUGGUUUUGCCUGGGCCCUAAAUCCAAAAAGCAUUUUAACCAAUCAACCCUUAGAUACAGGGUGUCCUUAGAGGACACCCAGCUGGUGUCUGCUGCAGAAUUGAUUGCUUAUUUGUUGGUGGGGAGAAACCCUUCACAUUCGGACACAGAAGUCUUUUGUCUGUAUUGAUUGUGGUGUUGAGUAACAGAAUAGACAAACACACUUUGAGUUUAUGGGGUUUUUUCACCCACAGAGGCUCAUAAAUUCUUACUUACCUUCCCUCCCAGGCCUUCCCUCCCAUCAAAGUUCCAGACUCAUCACAGCCUCCCCAGAGCCUAAGCCAGAGAUCCUGAAAGUCAGGUCCUGCCUUCCUCUGGCCUAAGCUGGAGAUCCUGAAAGUCAUGGUCCUGCCAUGACCAUGAUAAAAGGUCAUGGCCUUUUUAUCUCACCAAGUGUGGUGCCUGCUCCUUCACAUGCUUGGAGAAGGCUAUGACCAGGACUGCUCUCUGACCUCUUGUCCUCUUGCUAUCCUCAACUUCUCUUCAGCAACCCACAUCCAGCUUGCCUUUUAAUACUGCAAUAAGGUCGAUCUCGUAAAAUCAUGGGCUUCUAGAAACUUUGCUAGCAUAAUGAAACUUAGAGAUGAUCUAGUCUACCCUCUUAGUUUAUCAGAGAAAUUAUGAGGCUUCCUGAAAACGCCAGCCCACACUGAUCCCUAACCCUCCACACUCUCUUUUGUGUGGAUUUUAUUGUUGUUGUUGUUGAUACCAUGCAUAUGAGCACUAUAUAUUUGUCUUAUAUUUUUUCUGAUGGUCUUUUGUGUAUCUUGUCUUACAAUGACAACAUCAAACAAUCAGACCUUCAAGCCAGAGAAGCCCUUAUAAAUUCACUGGGCAGAGUACCUUCAUUUUCCUGCUGAAGAGAUGAGUAGAAAGAAGGACCAAGACACACCCAAAUCCCACCACCUCCAACACUGGAGGAGCACAGACCAAUGAAUUUUAAGACCAGCCCCCUUGUACUCUACCAAAAGUAGGUGACAACUUCCAUUGGCUUUACUUCCUAGAGUUGUCCAAUAAAGACCAGUUGAAUAGAGUGUAGAGAUCAUCACCCAUUCAAGGUAACCAAACCAACUCUGAAACCAACAGGCCCAGCAAUGAAUGCUUAGAGGCAAGAGAGACUGUAUAGAAGAAUACAUAGGUGCAGAGUGAAUACACUAAAAAUAAUACUAGCUAAAAUGUAUUGAGUCCUCAGCAGUUGGCAUGUAUCAACUCCUUUAAUCCUCACAAUAAUCUAUGAAGGAGGUUGAUAUAAUUUGGCUGAGUCCCCACCCAAAUCUCAUCUUGAAUUGUAGCUCCCAUAAUUCCCACGUGUUGUGUGAGGGCCUCUGUGGGAAAUAAUUGAAUCAUAAGGGUGGUUCCCCCAUACUGUUCUCAUGGUAGUGAAUAAAUCUCAUGAGAUCUGAUGGUUUUAUAAGGGUUUUCCCCCUUUCGCUUGACUCUCAUUCUCUUUGCCUGCCAUCAUGUAAGACAUGCUUUUGCUUCUUCUUUGCCUUCUGUCAUGAUUGUGAGGCCUCCCAGCCAUGUAGAAUUGUGAGUCCAUUAAAACUCUUUCCUUUAUAAAUUACCCAGCCUUGGGUAUGGCUUUAUUAGCAGCAUGAGAAUGAACUAAUACAGAGGUAUUAUUAUUAUUCCUCUUUUACAGGUGAAAAAACCAAAGCACACAGAGAUAAAGUACCCAAAGUCACACAGCCAAAAAGUGGCACAGCCAGGACUCAAGCCCAGCCUGUCUGGGUGCAGAGCAUGUACCCACAAUCCUUGCACCAUAGUCUCUUGAUUAAUGCAUCUCCUCUCACUGUUAGCUCCUUGAGAGCAUGGGCACUGUCUUGUUCACUACUUUAUCCCCAGCACACAGCAAGGCAGCCAGAAUUGAAAACUUAUUGACCUAAAUCAAACUGAACUGAAAAGUCUUUAUCACAUGGCCAGGAGAAAGGUGCCAUCAUCCACUUGCUAAUAGGGUGAUCCAAAGAAAGUAGCUUGAUCUCAACUCCUCUCAGUAUAUAUAAAUGGGGACAGUAGUACCUACGUCAUUGCAUUAACUCCAGUUGUAUUUAAGAUAAUGUUUAUAAAGUGCCCGGCACAUGAUAAGUGGUCAACAGUGGUAACUGGUGUUAUUAAUGGUGGCAGGGAAAGCAAGACAAGAAAAUAAACCCCACUGGUGCUGGGACUAUGUAUGUGCUCAGAAGAGGUCAGAUCAGAGAUCUGGAAAUGAAGAGAUCACAUCUGCUUUGACAAGAGGGGAAAUGGGAGGGUUCCCCUUGCCUGGGCCCUAAGUCCAAAAAUCAUUUUAGCCAAUCAACCCUUAAAUACAAACUCUCACAUGAAUCUCAGAGUCCGCCUAAUUUAUGUAGGGAGUAGCCAUGCUCUGAAAUCCAAAGACAUCUAGACUCAAGGUCUGACUCUAUCAAAGACUUGCUCUGUGACCUUGGACAAGUCACUCAGCCUCUCUGGGCCCCAAUUUCCUCAUCCAUAAAAUAAGGCAUUUGAACUAAAUGAUCUCUAGGCCUCUUUCCAGCGUUACUUAAUAAUCAUGCUAAACGACUGGAAACAAAAUGUCUUUCAGCCCAUCUGGCUCCUUGGUGGAAGAACCAACACAGGACUUUAUGAGUCAGGGCUUGGGAGCAAGCUCUAAAUGGAGAUGAUAGCUUUGGGGAGGUUUUUGUUUAUUGUGAUGAUAACUCACAGUUACAUGGUGUUUUACCAUUCACAGCACCAUUUUCUGUAGAUUCUCAUUUCAUCUGCUCUACAGCCCCAUGAAUCUGAUCAUCCUCACUCUGUAGAAGAAGAAGCUCAUUCUGAGAGUGUAUCAGGAAUUUGUUCAGCUGCAAGUAACAGCUGGCCUGACCCAUGUGGUUUAAGAAAAGAGGAGUUUAUUUUUAUCUAGAAUUAGUCAGGGAUGGGCCAGGCAAUGGCGGCAGGGCUGGUGUCUCUGAUUCUCUUGCACUUUCCUUUUAAUCAUAAAAUGAUCCAGACAUCACAUCCAUGGUCAAGGCAGGAUGCAGGGAAUGAAUGAACUAGUGACAACAGCCUCCCUUCCCAGGAAGCAAGACUUCCCCAGAACCCCUCCCAGCAUCCUCUUUGCUCAUAUUUUAUCAGCUCACACUAUCACAGCUUUGGCCCUAGUUGCAAGGCAAUCCGCCAUGGUUCUUUUACCUGCCUGUGUUAGUUUGCUAGGGCUGCCAUAGACAACAAAAUAUCACAGACAUGGUUGCUUACACAACAGACAUUUGUUGUCGCACAGCUCUAGAGCCUGGGAAGUCCAAGAUCAAGAUAUCAGUAGAGUUGCUUCGAUCUGAGAGCUGCGAAGGAAACCUCUGUUACAGGCCUUGCUCCUUGGCUUGUAGAUGGUCAUCAUCUCUCUGUUUCUUUUCACUUCAUCUUCUCUUUCUGCAUGUCUCUGUGUCCAACCUUCCCCUUUUCACAAGGACAAGAGUCAUAUUGGAAUAGGCUUCAUGCUAAUAACCUGAUCUUAACUUGAUUACCUCUGCAAAGACUCUCUCCAAAUAAACUCACAUCCCUGAGGAACAUCAGCAUAUGAAUUUGAAGGGGAGGGGAGCACAAUUCAACCCUCUGUAGUGGAGGCAGCUAGGCAGUAGGGUAUUGGCCAAUAAACAGUGUCUGUCUUUGAGAGUUAAGAAAUUUGCUCAAAACUAGUAAGUGGCAAAACUGGGACUUGAAUUCAGCUCUUGACUAGAAGUUUAGGGCUCCUUCUCCUAAGACCUCCUACCUCUCAUUUAGCCUCUCAUUAACAGGAGACAGUAGUUCAUAAUGGUGCAGAGAACACGCUCUGGAUUCAGAUUCCCUGGGUUAAAAUCUACACUCACUGUAUGACCUUAAGUAAGUUACCUAACCCCUCUGGCUUCAAUGAAAGGGAGACUCAUUCACGAUUUAACAAAUAAGGAUUGAGUUUCUUGUCUGGCACUCUUCUCAGUGCUGAGAGUGACCACAAUAGAAAUAAAAGCACCUAUUGAAUAGUGUUAUAUUAAUUUGAUGAGACAACUCAUGUAAAUAAAAUAUUUAGUUCUACAGUAUUAGUAGAACUAAUACUACUAAUACUAGUGGUAUAGCACAUAGCAGGCAUUCAAGAAAUGUUAUCAUUAUCAUCACAGUAAUUUUCAUUAGCACUCUUCCUCUCUCCUCUUUCUGGAAUUUCUGAGAUUGUACUUUACACUCUGGUCACUGCGUAUAUCAGGACAAUGGAUGUAGGUGAGCCGUGAACACUACCGCUGGCGGACACAAAACCACAGUGUACAAGGUACCCUGGAAGCUGCCUAAUACUCCACCGUGAGAUGUGUGUUUGCUGGCCCAGAAGUCUGGAGAAGGAAGUCACUUUCCCCUUGAUGCCCAGCAGAGCAGAAAUGAUGGAGGCGCCAAGACCAGUAGCCUCCAGCAAUCAAAAGACGAUGGGGCUAUCACUGCAAGUUUGGCAGUCAUGGGGAAAGUGAGCCAGAGAAAGAAGACAGAACUUGAGACCCUCUGGAAAGAUAGUAAUGGAAAAUAAAUGAUUCAUUUCAUAACACUGGGUCCAGAAUAUGAUGUUUCAACUGGGACAGUUAAGGUCUGUAUCAAAGGAGGAAAGGUAGGACUGAAUGAUAAUGACCUUGGAAAGAAAGGAGGAAGGGAGCUAAUAUUUAGCAUCAUUCUACUACGUGUCAGACGCUAUAUACCACAUCUCCUGAAUCCCCAUGACAACCGAGAGAGGCAAAAUGGUAUAAUAGAUAAGAGGGAAACUUAUGAGAACUGUCAGAUAAAACCCAAAUAUGAGUUCCAGCUUGGCUAUUUGCCA
rnacentral:lncRNA from 10 species